GAUGAACGCUAGCGGCAGGCUUAACACAUGCAAGUCGAGGGGCAGCACGGGUAGCAAUACCUGGUGGCGACCGGCGCAAGGGUGCGUAACGCGUGAGCAACAUGCCCUAUACAGGGGGAUAAUCCAGGGAAACUUGGUCUAAUAUCCCAUAGUAUUUAGAGGAGGCAUCUUCUAUAAAUUAAAGCUUCGGUGGUAUAGGAUUGGCUCGCGUGACAUUAGCUAGAUGGUGAGGUAACGGCUCACCAUGGCAAUGAUGUCUAGGGGUUCUGAGAGGAAGGCCCCCCACACUGGGACUGAGACACGGCCCAGACUCCUACGGGAGGCAGCAGUGAGGAAUAUUGGACAAUGGAUGGAAAUCUGAUCCAGCCAUGCCGCGUGCAGGAAGACAGCCCUAUGGGUUGUAAACUGCUUUUAUAUGGGAGCAAUAAGGUCUACGUGUAGACUGAUGAGAGUACCAUAUGAAUAAG
rnacentral:rRNA from 1 species